rnacentral:tRNA from 3 species
GCCCGUGUAGCUCAGUUGGAAGAGCAGCUCAUUCGUAAUGAGCAGGUCCGGGGUUCAAUUCCCCGCGCGGGCU